UGUAGCCCAGGUGUGGGAAUGUUAGGACAGGAGCUGCUCCCUCAGAUACAAAAUCCAUGUGGCUCACAGGGCGGUCCUCAGGGCUGCUGAAACACAUUUAGGCCCCACAACUAAUCCAGAACUGCCCACCUUGUAAGGGGUCAUUGCUCACCAGAAAGGUGAAAUCCAAGCAGCUCUGAAGAUAUUUUUAGAUAUGCAAGAAUUUGAACAUUGCAAGAAUACAGAAGCUAAGGUUUUAUUCAGUCCUUUCCUUGAAAGAAGGCAGACAUCUCAGUCACCACGUUGGUCAUUGUUUUGCUUCUGUGUGGCUGUGACACUUUUUUUUUGCUGUAGUGCUUCCUCUACCAAAUAAAUGGGCAAAGUGUAUCUGCACUGCAGUUUGGAAAUCGCUGCCUGUGUCCUGUCCAAGUAACUUCUUGUGGUCUACAGACACUUCCUAUUGCAGUUUCCUGUUCUUGAGCACUGCCAGACUUUUCACCUGGAUACCAUAUGGCUUGGGAUCCCUUUCCAGCUGGGUGUAAUUUGACACAGCUUCCUCCAGCAUACCGUGACUUUGAUGCAAUCACUGUGGGCUGAAAUGUGUAAGGCUUGUGAGCUAAACACAACACUGAAUUUCUCUCUCCCUCUCUCUCCAUGCUGUAUCAGGACGGUAUGCUUGAUUAACUCAUCGUUAAUACCUCUGAGGGCUGCAUCCAGGUACAACAAUGGAGUCUACAGGACAACUUUACACAGCAGUUGUCUUGGGAGUUGUACAAAAUGUUCAAGUAAAUUGUGCAGCAAUAAGCAGUCCAGCAGUGCUGAGUAUCUGCAGCCACCAGCAUGUUCUGCAUUGCUUUUCUCUGUAUGUCCCAGCUCACGGGAUGUCAGCAAGUAAGAGGUGGAUUUCCACAACUGCAGUUUGCUUUUAUUUAGUUGUAUUUCAUUUGCAUCUUCUAACGAAGAGGCACAGCAGGCAUCAUCUAUUAGACCCUUUGUCAUUCCACCUGCAUGUCCUGCCUGAGAACCUUUCCCACAAAGGGGACGCCUGUCAGGGCUCCCCAGCCCAGUGCCAGGGGACAGGACCACCUCCUGGAGCAGGCUCAGCAGUGCUCAUUGCCCCAGCUGCUGGUAGCACAGAACUGAUACGUGAUGAGCAUCGCCACGGUACGGCAAGGUCGGCACCUCCCUGGGUCAACAGUACCUGACUGUUCGCUGUGGCACGCUGCAAGGGGUUCUGCCUUGCCUUUCCCAAGCAGCAGCUUUCACACAGGUGUCUGCUCACACCCCUGCUGCCUUGGUGGUUGCCCACCCUGUUCUCCACAGCUCCAGCAGUGCCGCUCACCCCAGCCCCUGCUCCUGAAGCGCCCGUGGGGCAGGGCCUGCCGUGGCUGGCACGCUCCUGAGACCUGUCCUGUGUGACUGGGUGCUGUCAGCUCGUUUUAUGCUUGGAUUGUUGCUGGGAUCCCUUCCUCUGAUGCCUUAUUUCAUGGACCAUAUUUUCUAGGGGAGCGUGGUUCCUCCUGUAUGGUCAGGAGUUUGGGGCGUUUUUCCCUGGCCCUUGGCUGGUAACUUUGAUUGCCAUAAUGAUGUGGAGAAUCCCCCAGCACUGGAGGCUGGCUUUAUUUAGCUCUUUUUCAUUUUCCUCAGUGCUGAGGAAGUCGUGCAGCCUCGUGCCUUUGCUGAUGUCAGCUGGAGCAGUUGGGUACCAGUUCCCUCUUU